CUCAACUUCAUGUCGUUUGACAAUAAGAACAAGAUUUCUCUUUAAUGUUUUCAAACUCACACAUUUUAUCUUAUAUUGACCCAAAAUAAAACCCAAAAAAAGAAAGAAAGAAAUCAUCUUCAGACUUUAAAUUUGCAGAGAGUACAGAGAUGAUGAUGGUACAUUAGUUUACUGUGCAAUUGAUAUAUCUACAUUUCGGUGGAUAUAAUCUCCAGCUCCGCCCACCACGCCGGAGACCGACUAGGCAACGCUGCUUCCGGCGUUAUUCCGGUGAUCUCUCUCAGCUUAACCACCACUUCCUUCAUUUCCACCUUCUGACUCAAACACUCUUUAACCACUUCCCACACUCUCUCCAUGACCUCCUCUUGAAAGCUUUUCAGAGUCGGGUCUGCAACGGGUUUGGUUUCUUCCUGGAGCAGAGAAUCUGGAUCCGGGAUCUUUCCGGUGAUGAUCUCUUGUAGAAGGGCGCCAAAGCUGGAUACGUUGGUCAUGGGGUCAAGUGGUGUGGAGCUGAGGAACGUAAAGUCUGAGACUUUGGCUGCGUAAUCUGUUGCCAAGUAGACUGAAGAAGAGUUGAGGUUGGUGUGAGAGAUGGGUUUAGGGUUUAGAUUGUGCAUAUGUUCCAUACAGUAAGCUAUUCCCAUUACGAUUCUCAGUCUCAUUGGCCAGUCCAAAUGCUCUGCGUCUUGGUCUGCAACAUAAUAUUACAGUUACAAGUUUAAAAAAUAGAUGGGAGGGACUGAGUCUGUUGGAAGAAGUGGCAUUACUACUACUCACCGUGCAGAUGCUCGAAGAGGGAUCCAUUAGGAGCGUAUUCGAAAACUAGCAUUCGGUUGAAUGGUUCGUCUUCAUGGCAAUAUCCGAUUACAUUGAGGAAGUUCUUGUGGUUCACUUGAGAUAACCUCUGUAUCUGCAUUGCAUGAUUUGUAUGUGUUUUAAAGAAGAGGAGAAAGAAUGCAGAAAGAGGUUUCUGAUGUUACCUUUUCUUGGAACUGUGUUUCGUGAUCCUCUGACCAGUCUUGGAGGGAUCCAGAUGCAACUGCUAGAACGGCAAUUUCAGAGCCGGUGGAGAGAGUUCCUUUGUAAAUGGUGGCGUCUGAGGAUGUGGAGCCUAUGAUGUUACUGAAAUCUUCACAGGCAGUUUCUAGUUCUGCUAGCUUCAGCUUGGGAACACCUUCAUAAGUCAUAAUAAAUACACUAAACUCACUUUCACCAAUCUCUGCUAUGUUAUUGAACUAGAGAGUAAACAUAACAGUGAUGAUACCUGUAGUAACAACAUCUUGAAGCUGGCCACUGCUCCCAGUUUCCCCCCAUGGCUUUAUCAAUUUUACCUUUUGGUUCCAGAGAAAAAAGAAGGCCACCAAUGCGGCCAUGACGCCUAAUACACCUACUAGCACUCCGACUAUUAUGUACAUCUUACUCUUAUGAGAUUUCUUUUUGUUGACAGCAUGAGGCACUUCAGAAAGCUGAGGUGGUGGAGUCUGAGCUGGUGGAGGCUGAGCUGGUGGAGGGGGAACUGGAGACGGGUUUGGGAUAACUUGGGUUUCAGUAGGAGGGCUUGCACCUAUAUUCUGCGGAGGAGGGGCAAAGAAGAAAGGAAAAUCAAUGGGGACUUCCUCCAUAGGCGAUGGAGGAGAAGGUUGAGAAGGAGGGGGAGAUAUCUGAAGCAGCCUGCGAGCGAAGGGAAAUGGUUGGCCAAAGUUGUUGUCACACAAAUCCAAGAUCUCAAGCUCCUGCAAUUCUGUUACCUCUUCAGACAACACCAGACCAAGAACAAUGAGAAAGCUCUCCCCAAUUAACCAGAGCUCCAAAUGGGUCUAUCUCUAUUCUCUCUUUGAAUUUCAUCAAGGCCAAUGCUGCAAAACACACAAGAGUUAAUCCAUCAAUCAAUAGUCGAAUAGACUCAGAAAGAAAGAUGAAACAAAAGUAAGUACCUUCGGUGUUGAAACAGAGACCAAAGGUGAGAUUGUGAGGAAGAAAGAAGAGGAAGAAGAAGAUGAAGAAUGCUGGUCGGAGCAAUCUCCACCGUUGAUCGGAACUCAUCCUUUUCUGUUUUGUUGGAGCAGUUCAAGUCGUCGUCCAGAAAAGAAGACAAAUCAAUGGCUGCUCCUUUUUAUAUCCCACCUUCUUCAUUUUUGAUUUGUUAUUUGUCAUUGUUUUUGAUAUAUACAAAUGUUUAACCAUAGAAACAAACAUUUACAAGUUGGAAAAAAUGUAAAUACAAUUUUAAUUUAAAUAUACACACCAUUUGCAAUGCACGAUAAAGUCUUUCCCUCUAGAAAUU